UACAGAGGGUGCGAGCGUUAAUCGGAAUUACUGGGCGUAAAGCGUGCGUAGACGGUUAUUUAAGUCGGGUGUGAAAGCCCCGGGCUCAACCUGGGAAUUGCAUUCGAGACUGAAUAGCUAGGGUACGGUAGAGGGAAGCGGAAUUUCCGGUGUAGCGGUGAAAUGCGCAGAUAUCGGGAAGAACACCCGUGGCGAAGGCGGCUCUCUGGGACGGUACUGACGCUGAGACGCGAAAGCGUGGGGAGCGAACAGG
rnacentral:rRNA from 1 species